rnacentral:rRNA from 1 species
AUUGAACGCUGGCGGCAUGCUUUACACAUGCAAGUCGAGCGGCAGCGCGGGGGCAACCCUGGCGGCGAGCGGCGAACGGGUGAGUAAUGCAUCGGAACGUGUCCCGUAGUGGGGGAUAACGCCGGGAAACCGGCGCUAAUACCGCAUAUGCUCUACGGAGGAAAGUGGGGGACCUGCAAGGGCCUCACGCUAUGGGAGCGGCCGAUGUCCGAUUAGCUAGUUGGUGAGGUAAAGGCUUACCAAGGCGACGAUCGGUAGCUGGUCUGAGAGGAUGAUCAGCCACACUGGGACUGAGACACGGCCCAGACUCCUACGGGAGGCAGCAGUGGGGAAUUUUGGACAAUGGGGGCAACCCUGAUCCAGCCAUGCCGCGUGAGUGAAGAAGGCCUUCGGGUUGUAAAGCUCUUUUGUCCGGGAAGAAAAGGCUCACUCUAAUACGGUGGGUUCUUGACGGUACUGGAAGAAUAAGCACCGGCUAACUACGUGCCAGCAGCCGCGGUAAUACGUAGGGUGCGAGCGUUAAUCGGAGUUACUGGGCGUAAAGCGUGCGCAGGCGGUUCGUUAAGUCAGAUGUGAAAGCCCCGGGCUUAACCUGGGAAUGGCAUUUGAGACUGGCGAGCUGGAGUCUGGCAGAGGGGGGUGGAAUUCCACGUGUAGCAGUGAAAUGCGUACAGAUGUGGAGGAACACCGAUGGCGAAGGCAGCCCCCUGGGCUGAGACUGACGCUCAGGCACGAAAGCGUGGGGAGCAAA